AUCUGGCGGAGGGGGCGGGGCAGCUAGCCCCUCCCCCUGCCUUUAGGCAGCAUGCUCUCCCCGCCGCCGAAUUUCUUUCUCCCAGACCGCCGCCGCCACCUGGUGUCGGGGCCACACUCUCGAACGGAUGUCUCAGGUCACCCAGGCUCAGGGUGCGGAGAUAGAGCCUUGAGAUCCAGAUCUACAAUCUACCUGGAAUUGAUAUUUGGUGUCAUGUCAGGCAGGUUUUGGUAUCAAGUUUCUGCUGGCUUCACAAAAGCUACUCUUUUCCUGUUCCCUGAAAGAGUUUGUAUAAGACAAGCCAAAAAAGGACCUAGAGGGUAGAGGAAUUGUCUUCCUGCCCACUUUGGAGACUUGGACAGGAUAAAACUUAGCAGGCUGGAUCCUGCUCACUCUUGGACUGCUGCAGCCAAGAGAUCCUGGACCCCUGACAAGAGCCGGCAGGAGGUAGGAGUUCUUACCACAUCAGUCUCCCAGAUCUCUGCCUGCAGAGUCCCUUGGAAGCGAGAUUGGCAUGUCCUCAGAGUUGUCAGCCUUGGAUACGAUGCAGACGUGCAGCCUGGAUUUACUAGUCAAAUAAGCUUGUGUUAUCCCUGUUACAAAUUUGUGAGCCUGAUGAUUUAAAAUGAUAGUUAAUUUUGUCUAAUGUCUCAUGAAGUUGUCAUGGGUAUUCUAAACAUAGUUGUUGGGAACGAAUAAUUUAGAUGUAAGUGAGAUAAGAGUUUAUAGAUAAACACUUAGCAAUAAUUGUAGCUUAUGGCAUAUAUAUUUAAAAUAAAUGCCAAUAUCUCUUUGGUAACUGAAACUUUGAAGUUUUG